rnacentral:rRNA from 1 species
ACGGAGGGUGCUAGCGUUGUUCGGAAUUACUGGGCGUAAAGCGCGUGUAGGCGGUUCGGUAAGUUAAGUGUGAAAGCCCUCGGCCCAACCGAGGAAGUGCACUUAAAACUGCCGAGCUUGAGUUCGGAAGAGGGGGGUGGAAUUCCAGGUGUAGCGGUGGAAUGCGUAGAUAUCUGGAGGAACACCAGUGGCGAAGGCGACCCCCUGGUCCGCGACUGACGCUGAGACGCGAAAGCGUGGGUAGCAAACAGG